rnacentral:rRNA from 1 species
UACGAAGGGGGGCUAGCGUUGUUCGGAUUUACUGGGCGUAAAGCGCACGUAGGCGGAUUUUUAAGUCAGGGGUGAAAUCCCGGGGCUCAACCCCGGAACUGCCUUUGAUACUGGAAGUCUUGAGUAUGGUAGAGGUGAGUGGAAUUCCGAGUGUAGAGGUGAAAUUCGUAGAUAUUCGGAGGAACACCAGUGGCGAAGGCGGCUCACUGGACCAUUACUGACGCUGAGGAGCGAAAGCAUGGGGAGCGAACAGG